rnacentral:lncRNA from 1 species
CAAUUUGCACCUAUUUCAGGUGCAUGUACCCUUCAUUUCACAUUUAUUAGAACGUGUACAGUGCCUGAGUGUGCACAGAUUGAAUGUUAACACAAUCUCGUAAGGCCAAGAUAUUUAACUAACUUAGUGCAUAUGCAAGGCUCGACCAUGCUAUUGACAUCCAGAGGUUGUCUGACCGUAUGCUUAUGAAGCCAUUUGCAAGCUUUUUAUUGCAGUAACAGAAGCAUUGCAGUACUAUCCAAAUGCAAAUUCGCUCUGCUACCAGCCCCUUCGAGCGGCAGGUUUAACCCUGACGAUUUCAGUAUAUGUGGUAAAGGGAACCUAUAAAUCACAGCUCCGGAGGUCAUGGUCCAUGCAAGGCAGUGUUGGGAUCAUAAUCGGGGCCAAAAAGUCUAACGACCCUGAUUGCAUGGUUAGGCAGGGGCUUCGCAAGUGAAGGAAGCCAAGCGUUGAUUCCACAAAAUGAAAUGGAAGCUCCUGCCCACUUCAGGUGAAGCAAAUGUAAACGUGUCGGUGACAGAAGCCCGUACCAAUGAGCUCCAACGGCG